rnacentral:pre_miRNA from 1 species
UCAAAAUGAGGUAGUAGGUUAUAUCAGUUGAAUAUUUUACCAUGGUGAUAACUGUAUAACCAACUAGCUUUCUUAA